CUCUGAAUGGUGUGGCGUGAGAUUUAUAAGGGUUUGGAGAGGAUAUUUGCCUUCCAGCAAAUAGAAUACAUAAAGGAAAACUUGGGAUAUAAUUACAACUCAAAUCGGUAAACAAAGUGAGAGCGAGGAAACUUAGUAGCAACUUGGAGUCAAAGCCCAACUGCUGGCUUGAAGAAGCGAGGAUGCGAUGUUUGGAGAGGAGCAAGACGCACCAGUUUGUUUUCUUCUUGAAUAAAAGUACUCUGUUUGGCAUCCAAGAAUUAACAAGCAAUUUCAAAAACUAGCAACAUUGACCGUAACAAGUUGUAUGGAUUGCUCGAGGUGACGCGCUUGGUAUUUUGACACGAGUACUAGACAACAGUUGGCACGGGCGAGGAUUUAGUUAAUUAGGGCGCACAGGUUGACAGUUCCUGGUGAGCCUCGCACUUGUUCGCGUGGGCAGAGAUUUUAUUUAUUGUUAUAGUCCUUUCUUUGAACUCUUAG